GGUAGAGGCUCAGCUCAGUCAGCCGGGGGACCCCACCCUUGCCACAGAAUGGUCUAGAUAACCAGGAGGCAUAGGGAACCCAGGCCUUGAAGGGGAAGGUUUCUGCUUACCUCUCCCCCACUCCCCUGCCCAACGCUCCUGUGUCCACAACUGCACACCACAGCAAGGCUGGCCUUGCCCAGCAUGCUCCCCCAGCUGGGCUGACACUGGCCCCCCUUUCUCUUGCCUACAGGAAGGUGGACCGGCUAGGAGCUGCUUUCCACUUCCCCAGCCCCUGCCCUCAUGGGGGGUGUGGUCAGGGGUCAGCCGGGCAGCCAAGUGAACAAUCAGUAGCCAGUGCGCUUCCCUUAGGAAGUGGAAUGUCCCUCACAGAUCCAGGUUGUGGAACCCCAAGCACCAUUAUGCUGACAGUCCCAGGUGGGAAAACGUGUGCCUUCCCAGGCACAGAGAACUCCAGACACGACGAGAGUGGGGGAAAGCGAAGUGUCCGUCCACAGGGUCCAGUGACACCCCCGGUGGCAUGUCAGACUCAGCACAUCACCGGACUGUUUAGAAGCACGUGGCAGCUCUGUGUGAACAAAUGCUAACCCGGCCCCACAGCGUGUUCCUGAGUGAAAACCAAAACUGCGGUGGCACGGACACUGGCCGUAUGGAUUCCGGCGCAGCACCCCAAAGGGAUAAUGAGGGACACUGGUGGCCUCUGGGGUGGGGAGGGCAGGAGCCCUGCUGUAAACUGUGUCCUUGAGUGCAGUUCAAAUUGUGCACCAAAAGUAUGUGUUAUCUAUUCAAAAGUAAUCAAUUUUCUUUAUGUUAAAUGUUUCAAAUCUUCCUGGAAAAAGGGAAUUCAAAACACCCAUUACUUUCACUUUCUCCACAAACCACAUUAAAAUCACAAUAAAGGGGUUUUUUCUUAAUAUUCAUUUUUGAGAGCCUGAGAGC
rnacentral:lncRNA from 1 species